AGGGAUGUAGCCAAGCGGUAAAGGCAUCGGACUUUGACUCCGAUAUCGUGUGUUCGAUCCACGCCAUCCCUGCCA
rnacentral:tRNA from 1 species